rnacentral:rRNA from 1 species
CUGGGCGUAAGCGCACGCAGGCGGUCAAUUAAGUCAGAUGUGAAAGCCCCGAGCUUAACUUGGGAAUUGCAUCUGAAACUGGUUGGCUAGAGUCUUGUAGAGGGGGGUAGAAUUCCAUGUGUAGCGGUGAAAUGCGUAGAGAUGUGGAGGAAUACCGGUGGCGAAGGCGGCCCCCUGGACAAAGACUGACGCUCAGGUGCGAAAGCGUGGGGAGCAAACAGGAUUAGAUA